GCCGACGUAGCUCAGUUGGUAGAGCAACAGUUUUGUAAACUGUAGGUCGUCGGUU
rnacentral:tRNA from 1 species